ACACUGCGCUCAGAGAGAGAGAGAGAGGGAGAGAGAGAGAGCGACAGUGGAACAGAAAACAAUGAAACGAGAACUAAUUUGCUGUCAAUCUACCAGAAAUGUAAAACAAUAUAACAACGGCGUGAAGAAGAAGCUCUCUGAGAGAGACUAUUAUGUUUGUUUGUUAUGUGUUUGUGUUUAUGCCUGACUCUCUCUCUCUCUCUCUCUCUCUCUCUCUCUCACUCUUUUAGCUUC
rnacentral:miRNA from 1 species